GAUGAACGCUGGCGGCGUGCCUAAUACAUGCUAGUCGAGCGAACGGACGAGAAGCUUGCUUCUCUGAUGUUAGCGGCGGACGGGUGAGUAACACGUGGAUAACCUACCUAUAAGACUGGGAUAACUUCGGGAAACCGGAGCUAGUACCGGAUAAUAUUUUGAACCGCAUGGUUCAAAAGUGAAAGACGGUCUUGCUGUCACUUAUAGAUGGAUCCGCGCUGCAUUAGCUAGUUGGUAAGGUAACGGCUUACCAAGGCAACGAUGCAUAGCCGACCUGAGAGGGUGAUCGGCCACACUGGAACUGAGACACGGUCCAGACUCCUACGGGAGGCAGCAGUAGGGAAUCUUCCGCAAUGGGCGAAAGCCUGACGGAGCAACGCCGCGUGAGUGAUGAAGGUCUUCGGAUCGUAAAACUCUGUUAUUAGGGAAGAACAUAUGUGUAAGUAACUGUGCACAUCUUGACGGUACCUAAUCAGAAAGCCACGGCUAACUACGUGCCAGCAGCCGCGGUAAUACGUAGGUGGCAAGCGUUAUCCGGAAUUAUUGGGCGUAAAGCGCGCGUAGGCGGUUUUUUAGUCUGAUGUGAAAGCCCACGGCUCAACCGUGGAGGGUCAUUGGAAACUGGAAAACUUGAGUGCAGAAGAGGAAAGUGGAAUUCCAUGUGUAGCGGUGAAAUGCGCAGAGAUAUGGAGGAACACCAGUGGCGAAGGCGACUUUCUGGUCUGUAACUGACGCUGAUGUGCGAAAGCGUGGGGAUCAAACAGGAUUAGAUACCCUGGUAGUCCACGCCGUAAACGAUGAGUGCUAAGUGUUAGGGGGUUUCCGCCCCUUAGUGCUGCAGCUAACGCAUUAAGCACUCCGCCUGGGGAGUACGACCGCAAGGUUGAAACUCAAAGGAAUUGACGGGGACCCGCACAAGCGGUGGAGCAUGUGGUUUAAUUCGAAGCAACGCGAAGAACCUUACCAAAUCUUGACAUCCUUUGACAACUCUAGAGAUAGAGCUUUCCCCUUCGGGGGACAAAGUGACAGGUGGUGCAUGGUUGUCGUCAGCUCGUGUCGUGAGAUGUUGGGUUAAGUCCCGCAACGAGCGCAACCCUUAAGCUUAGUUGCCAUCAUUAAGUUGGGCACUCUAAGUUGACUGCCGGUGACAAACCGGAGGAAGGUGGGGAUGACGUCAAAUCAUCAUGCCCCUUAUGAUUUGGGCUACACACGUGCUACAAUGGACAAUACAAAGGGCAGCGAAACCGCGAGGUCAAGCAAAUCCCAUAAAGUUGUUCUCAGUUCGGAUUGUAGUCUGCAACUCGACUACAUGAAGCUGGAAUCGCUAGUAAUCGUAGAUCAGCAUGCUACGGUGAAUACGUUCCCGGGUCU
rnacentral:rRNA from 1 species